UUAGGGGUUCAACAAGGGUUCUUCUAAGAUCCUCAAAGUUCUUUGAAGAACCUUAGGGUUCUUGGCACUGAAAAUUGCCCCCAAAAGGUUAUUCUGAGAACCCCAUAGGAGGUGGGGUUCAUCGAGGAACUUCCUUAGUUGGUGGAACUGCCCAACUGAAACAUUUGGAUUUGAAAGGACAGCAGGUGCAGGCACUUAACUGUAAAGAUCUCCUCAAUUUAAGGUAAGAUUUGUCCCUUUUUAUAUGAUCUCAAUUGAUAUUGUUUUGUGAUGAUACAAUCUAUCUUUAAAUAUUUGUGCAAAUCUUUCUAAACCAGAUAAUGGACACAAUUCAAUGGAUAUCAAUAAACAAAGAGGUAUACAGACGAUGAGGCAUACAAAGGUAUGUCUUGGUAUGUUAUGGAGAUCACAUGUACCAUCCUUCCUUGCCUCUUCAAUGAAAACCCCAUAGGCCUCUACAUUAUGGACAAGAUUUCACCCUCCCUACACCUCUGAUGAAUAUACCAGGAAACCUGUUCAAUCACCAUGCACUGCAAAAUCAUUCUGGCUAUGGAUACGGAGAACAUCAACACAUUAAUAUCAACACGACAGAGGAUAUACCCAUUGGACUUGGGGCUCACAUUUUAGAAUUUUUAUUCUGCUUUGCCACUUAAAUCAUAAUGAACACUGACAACUAAAAUAUUGUGUUAUUGUUAUGCAUAAUAAUAAUAGGGGAGGUAGGUAGUUCAGAUAUGAACCCCUAAAGGUUCUUUGAGGAUCUAUUAAGAGGGGUUCUUCGAAGAACUUAUAGGUUCCCCCACAGUUGUAAUUUGAAGAACCCCUAAAGGAUAUUCCAGGAACCUUUUAGUGUAGUAAUUAAGGCGGAAUGUAAAAAGUGUACCUCAUGUCUAUCACCAGCUCCAGAAAUAACCUCUCUAGCUACAGCUUUGUCCCAUUCAAGGUUGAGUUAACCUGGUUAGUCUGUGUUCAAAUUGCAGUCUUCUGUUCCCCAGAGCAAUGUGGCACAGCCAGGCCGACGGAUGUUGUCGAGCAGUGACAGUGGAGUGAGUAUAAUUUGUGAAAAGUUCCAACAGGAAUCUGUAUCAAAAACUCCGAAGUACAAGGAUGCCAACAAACAAUGCAUACAAAUUAGCAUGAUCAAUUCACCUUUCUAAUUAGCUGUCGAAUAGUCAUCAACUCACCACGUAGUUUAUUCUUAAUGUUUGUCCAUAGGUUCCCAGAGUGAGGACAGACCUUUUUCGGAAUGAACGUUGUGAGUGAAAAACGUAAUUAAAUUGCCCACUGCAGUAUCUUAUUCUGCCGCUAUACAACUUUGUAUGCGUUGUUUGUUGGCAACCAUGUUUACGAAGUUUUUGAAACAGAUUCCUGUUGGAAUGUUACACAUUAUACCCACCUGCAACAGUGUUGUCUCUGGAUGUGAACACUUGUUAUGGGCAUUUUCACAUGCUUUCAUUGCACCUGUUCAGUGUGCAUUUACAGGUGAUUAGAACGCUUGUUAUGGACAUUUUUACAAGCGUUCAUUACACCUGUUCAGCCUAUUGGGUAAAGAAUGGUGUUUUUGUAGUUUGUUUUUGGAUAAUUGCCGAAAACAACUUGUGUGGUAGCUAACGUCACAUUCUGUGAUUAAAAAAAAAAAUGUUUAAAAAUAUAUUUAUGUAUUGGCUGCAUCUCUGAUCAGUCUUCUCCUUGUAUGAGCUGAAAGUUUAGAGGGACGGCCAGGUCUUGGUAGAUUUGCAGUGGUCUGAUACUCCUUUCAUUUCAAUAUUAUCGCUUGCACAGUGCUCCUUGGGAUGUUUAAAGCUUGGGAAAUCUUUUUGUAUCCAAAUCCAGCUUUAAACUUCUUCACAACAGUAUCUCGGACCUGCUUGGUGUGUUCCUUGUUCUUCAUGAUGCUCUCUGCACUUUUAACGGACCUCUGAGACUAUCACAGUGCAGUUGCAUUUAUACAGAGACUUGAUUACACACAGGUGGAUUGUAUUUAUCAUCAUUAGUCAUUUAGGUCAACAUUGGAUCAUAUCCAAUAAUAUCCAAUAAAUGUAAUUCCACUUCAUGAUUGUGUCCCACUUGUUGUUGAUUCUUCACCAAAAAAUACAGUUUUAUAUCUUUAUGUUUGAAGCCUGAAAUGUGGCAAAUGGUUGCAAAGUUCACGGGGGCCGAAUCCUUUUGCAAGGCACUGUAUAUGUACAUAUUCUUAAUCAUUCCUUUAAACUUAUGUGUAUAAGGUAGAUGUUGUGAAAUUGUUAGAUUACUUGUUAGAUAUUACUGCACGUUAGGAACUAGAAGCACAAGCAUUUCGCUACACUAUGCGACCAAUAAAAUUUGAUUUGAUUUGAA